rnacentral:rRNA from 1 species
CAGCCGCCGCGGUAAUACAGAGGGUGCAAGCGUUAAUCGGAAUUACUGGGCGUAAAGCGCGCGUAGGUGGUUUGUUAAGUUGGAUGUGAAAGCCCCGGGCUCAACCUGGGAACUGCAUCCAAAACUGGCAAGCUAGAGUACGGUAGAGGGUGGUGGAAUUUCCUGUGUAGCGGUGAAAUGCGUAGAUAUAGGAAGGAACACCAGUGGCGAAGGCGACCACCUGGACUGAUACUGACACUGAGGUGCGAAAGCGUGGGGAGCAAACAGGAUUAGAUACCCGCGUAGUCCCUGUCUCUUAUAC